AGAAGGAUGGCUGGAAGUGGUUGGAUAAGCCCCGGU
rnacentral:tRNA from 1 species